UGAGGAAUAUUGCACAAUGGGGGCAACCCUGAUGCAGCAACGCCGCGUGAGUGAUGAAGCAGUUUAUCUGUGUAAAGCUCUGUUGGGAGGGACGAAAUGAUUGGUUAGUUGCCGAUUUUGACGGUACCUCCUGAAGAAGCUCCGGCUAACUCCGUGCCAGCAGCCGCGGUAAUACGGGGGGAGCGAGCGUUGUCCGGAUUUAUUGGGCGUAAAGGGCAUGUAGGUGGUCUUUUAAGUCAGUUGUUAAACUUAUCGGCUUAACCGGUACUUGCAAUUGAUACUGGGGGACUUGAAGUUGAGAGGGGAUAGUGGAAUAUCAAGUGUAGCGGUGGAAUGCGUAGAUAUUUGAUAGAACACCUGAGGUGCAGACGACUAUCUGGCUCAUGAUUGACACUGAGAUGCGAAAGUAUGGGGAGCAAACA
rnacentral:rRNA from 1 species